AUGACGCGGAGCCUGAUCCAGCAACGCCGCGUGAGGGAUGACGGCCUUCGGGUUGUAAACCUCUUUCAGCGGGGACGAAGCGCAAGUGACGGUACCCGCAGAAGAAGCACCGGCCAACUACGUGCCAGCAGCCGCGGUAAUACGUAGGGUGCGAGCGUUGUCCGGAAUUAUUGGGCGUAAAGGGCUCGUAGGCGGUUUGUCGCGUCGGGAGUGAAAACACCGGGCUUAACUCGGUGCCUGCUUUCGAUACGGGCAGACUAGAGGCAUGCAGGGGAGAACGGAAUUCCUGGUGUAGCGGUGAAAUGCGCAAAUAUCAGGAGGAACACCGGUGGCGAAGGCGGUUCUCUGGGCAUGUCCUGACGCUGAGGAGCGAAAGUGUGGGGAGCGAACAGGAUUAGAUACCCUGGUAGUCCACACCGUAAACGUUGGGCGCUAGGUGUGGGAUCCAUUCCACGGGUUCCGUGCCGCAGCUAACGCAUUAAGCGCCCCGCCUGGGGAGUACGGCCGCAAGGCUAAAACUCAAAUGAAAUUGACGG
rnacentral:rRNA from 1 species